GCACUAGCGUGCGUCGGGUCCGUGCCGUGCGUGAAGUUCGGGGCGCCGGCGCCAUGGUGUUGGGGGCGGGGCGUUAAGACCCAGCCGCGCUGGAGGCGGAUGGCAAAGCUCCGAUAAUGAGCAUCGAGUCGAGCGGCCGCGGCCCCGGCCUGCCCCCAGGGGUGGAUGGGCCCUGCCGCCCCGGGGCCGGGUUGGCUGCGCGACACCGCCGCGAACACCCCGGCCCCACCGCGGCAGUCGGGACGAGACCUGGGCUGCCCUCAAGAUGGCUGCGGAGGGGCGGGGGGUGCCGGCCGGCUCAGCCCGGCGGCGGGGAGCCGGAUUAGCGCGGGAGAAGCGGCCUGUUCCCCUAGCCAGCCGGGCCGGCCCCUGUAGCGAGAAGCGGGGCGAUCGUGGUGACGCCUGGGCAACGGGCCCGGCGCAGGGGGCAAUUUCUUCGCUAUGGCGCGAAGUAGCGGGAGCGAGGCCGUCGCGGCGGCGGAUACUGCUGUGGCGUGUGCGGGGGUCGGGGAGGUGGCCCGGUGGAAACGGGACUGGGGGAGGAGCCGGGAAAACCGACCCGCUUCCCUUUCUUAAUCAUUCUCCUGUCAGCAGCCUCGGGCCACGCUCAGCCAGCCCUGCAAGCCGUUAGCGGGUGUCGGCCGGCCGGCUGCUGGCUCCAUGGACUCCGCCUCAGUUACUGUUUCCUGUGAUACUUUCCCCCUUGUUUGCAUUUUGUUCCCGUUAGGAGCCAGCUAGAUUUUUGGCUCGAGAAAUCCCCGUGGGGGGAGAUUGGUGUGUGGGGAGUCCCAUUAGUGCACACUUGGCUGUUUUGUCCGCUACCUUCACUGGGGAUGAAUGGUUUUAUUUCCAAAUUUGACAUUUUCUUGGGCCAGCUAUUGAGGAAAAAAAGUGAACAGUUUUAAACUAGGGCUGAUUUGGGGCAAGAACUACUCCCCUUGUACCUUAUGCAUAAAAAGAUCCUUUCCAGCAAGUGGUCAGUGACCAGCCUAGGUGACAUUUCAAGCCCGACUGUGUAACAUGCUGUCCCAAGCCCUGGAAAUAGAAGAUCCCUGAUGACAGAAUGCUUACAUAGAGUUAUGAUUACUCACGUUCUAAUGCAGCAGGGAUCUCUAGCCCAUGGCAUUUAGAAACUAUAUGUUGUAUCUUAUUAAAGUGGCGUGUGCAUGUGGUGACUGAAUUGAAGAAGCUGAUUAAUCAGGGGAGUAAUGAAAUAUUACAAAUAGUGUAUUCCAGCUUCUCAAACCCUUAUUUGCAGAAUACGUAGUUGGGGGGGGGGGCGGAAGGGGAUGAGGGUCACUUGAAAAGUAUUUUGUAGGAUGGAAAUUAGCUGGUGAAUGCAUAGUUUGUGCUGUUGUCUCUAAGGCAAAAUAAUAGUCUGAAAAUUAAUUUUUAGGUCAUAGUGGCUAAACUGUAAGGUCAAGCUCACAUUAAUAACUACUGUUAGCUGCAAAGAAAGUCAUAGACUUUCUAAUAUUAAUUGAAUGCACAUCUGUACUUACUAAGUUACCAUGAAAUUGAGAGAGAUGAUGGUACAAAUAAUUGUUUAGGUGAAGAUAAAUCAAAUGUAAACUUCAACUAGGAAGUUAAAAGAUGUGAACUCCUAAACAAGUCUUCAUCUAGGAUGUGCGCAGGAACAGCUGGAUUGUCAUGCAAAAGAUCUGCUUCAGGAGGACUGGCUUCUUCUGCUCACUCCUUGACUGUCUAAGAAGCAGGUGCUAUUUUUAAUAUUCUUUCUUAUUGCCUUGGGGGUACGCUUGGGUAAGAGACCAAUAAGUGCACUGAGGACCCUCACAUGCAAUUUAAGAGCCAUGUUUUCAAAUCUAGUGAUAAAGUCAAGUCAUUCAUGAAAAAUCCUGCUUAUAUCAACAUCUGGGUGACUGAAGAUGAAGGUGGCUUUAAAUAUUUCUGCAGCAUGUCUGCAUGCCAUAAAAUCCAAAGCUUUUAUUGAUCUCAACAGCAGGUGAAGUGUCACUAUUUGGUAUGUUGACCUUUUUCAAGUUUGGCAAAAAUCCCGGUGUGGGGUUGAAUUGCUGUAGGAGCUGCUGCUAAAAAAUUACAUGUCACUAUCCAUGUUAGUAGCGUGUAUGUUUUAUUAAGAAAAACUACAUGUCUAACUAGAUAUGUGCAAAACAAAUGGUAUGUGAUCUGCUACUCCGAGUCCCAGGAGAAGCAUUUAUUUCCCAGUGUCUUCCUGCACCUUCCUUAACUCUAGUGCUCUUGCACAGUGGGAAGGGUUUUUCUGUGCUCUUAGUUUUAUUAUAAUGUAUUACAUUAUUUAGCCCCUUAUAUUGGUCUUUUUAGCCAUAGCUGUCAAAGUGCUUUAUGAAGAUAAGAAGUAUCAUCCCCAUAUUACAAAAGAGAAUUUUGAGGGACAGAGUGAAGUCACAUGCCCAAAAUCACAUAGCAAACCAAUAGCAGAGGUAGGAACAGAAGUCAGUUCUUAACUUUACUUCAGUGUCUUAGUCAUGGGUCUAUACUGCCUCCUUAGUUAAAAUGCAUUAAGAAUCAUGUUUGUGUACCUAUACAUCUCUGGGAUUACUAAUAACUUGUCAUCUAAGAGGCAACAGUUUGAUUUCUUCAAGGUCACACAGAAGAGUCAGUCCUAGAAUAUUAAGUAUGAUUUAGAAACUUUCCUUAAAGUUUGCAAGUGUUCACCAAUCCCACUUGUGAAUAAGUGAAAUCUUUGUCAGCCACACAAAAUCAAGUAAACCGAUUUUGCACACAAAAUCAAGUAAACCGAUUUUGUGUAUGUAACCUAGCUGGCGGUGAGGAGAUACUGAGUAUUUAUAGCCCAUACUGUCUCAGAAGUCGAGUAUGUUUUUCUUACACUUUUUUGUCCAAUUACACACAGACAAUGAACACUGUGACCACGUGCACCUCAGCAAGCUGCUUCUCCACUUCUUCCCAUCCCUCAUUGCAGCAGACAGCAAUGCAUGCCCCUCUGUAAUCCUGCCCUCCACAAACAUUCAACAAAAUAAGUAAUUCUGCUAGGUUUCAGCCCUUACACUGUCACACUGUCUUGCUUUCUACAAGAAUUUAAGAGCAAAUAAGAUACUGACAUCCUAAAACAACUGUAUUUUAAAGUGUUUCCAUAGCGUAAUGUCCUAGGAUGCAGGAGCACUACCUAUUCACCAGUAAACAAGGGGCCAACUUUAGUAAAUCCUUUUACACAGGUGCUUAAGGAACACCUAUAGGCUGGCUGCUUGGGAGACGGGGGGGGGGGAAAUCAGGUCAUAGGACUCGUUAAAGCCAGCCAGACACAGAAUUUUCUCUUUUUUUUCUUGUUAAAUUUUUUAAAAACCCUUUGCUGUCCUUUCAGGUUGAAACUAAUAAUCAAAGUAGUUGGGUUUUUUUAGAAAAUUUUCAGUUUAAUUAUUUGGGUUAAUGAUGAAUGGGGAGAGCAAUUAUAUGUAUGGGUAUUAGUAUUAGUGUAUUAGUACACUUUUUGCAUUCUAGUUUUGGCCUUCACAACAUCACCUGGCAACGAGUUACGCAAGUUGACUGUGUGAGACUUUGAGUCCAAGAGAUGAGGAAAGUAUCUUGUAAGGAUUGUGGGCUCAUUCCCACCCAGGAACAAAACAUUGGGCAUUUUGUGUUCUCUUGUGGCAAAUAGAUCCAUGAUAGGGGUAACACCCUGGUGGAAUAUUAGUCUGAUGGGACCCUCCAAUAUUAGUCUGAUGGGACCCUCCAUGCAUGAAUGAUAGCAGUCUGGUGAAAAAAUCUGCUAAAUUGUUGAGUUCCAGGAAAUGAAGGUCUGUUGGAGUUAUCCCAUGGACUUGAUACCAUUUCCAAAAUUUGAUUGCCUCUUCGCAUGCAAACAAUGAACAAGCACCUCUUCGCUUGUUUGCACAAAUACUGUUGUCCGAAUACCAUGCUGAUGUGCUGUCCAUGAGGACUAAUAUGGUGAAAUUCUUUAAGGCUGAAUGGAAAGUUUUGCAUACUAGCCUGAUUGUCCUGAGACCACAUGUAAAUGUCUUAUCUGUUCCUGAGACCAUGUAUCUGACAUUGGUCCAGGUGAGCACCCACUUUGUACUGGAAGCAUCUGUGAUCAGUGACUUUAUACAUGGAGAAGGCGGGAUCCCCUUUGAAGGUAUUUUGACAAUCUGUCCACAAGUUGAGUGCUAGAUUAACUGAAACUACAACAUGCAUGAACAUCUGAUGUCUUGAAGGGCAAUACCCCCCAACCUCAGCUAUCCCUAUAAUCUGGCUAGCAGCAUCGCAUAAAUGCAAUCUGUCAUGUGGCCUAAGAGUUUGAGGCAAGUUCUCAAUGUGGUAGAUGGAAUUAAUUUGAUGGUGAAUACUAUUGUCCGGAUAGAUUGAAAUAUCUCCUCAGAAAGGUAUGCAUUUGCUGGUUUGGAAUCAUUAGAGCUCUUAUGAAUUCUCAUUUGUGAUGGAUAAUUUGCUAUAGUUUCUCUUUGAAUAGAAGGACAGAAUCAAGGGCCAUGGAGAACUCCUGAUGGGGGAAUGCCUUUAAUUAGCCAAUCGUCUAGGUAUGGGUAGACAUGAACACCCUAUCUCCAGAUGUGUUGCUAACACUGGUAGGCACUUUGUGAAAACUCUUGGUGUUGUGGAGAGACCAAAUGGCAGGAUUUUGUAUUGAUAGUGGUUGUGCCCUGCUGUGAAUUGCAAGUAUUUCCUAUGGGCUGGAAGGAUUUUGAUAUGGAAGUAUGUGUCUUGGAGGUCAGGAGCCACAAGUUUCAGCUUAUAAUGAAGGGAGGAAGGCUAAAGUCACCAUCCGGAAUCUGAAAUAGCAUAUAUGUUUGUAUAUAGGACAGGACAAAGACUCGCUUCAGUGUAAUGAGGAAAUACUGGGAAUUAAAACCUCUUCUUCUGAAUUCUAAAAGGUCCCCUUUUAUGGCCCCUAGCCAGAGUAAGGAAACUACUUUUUCAGUAAUUGGGAUUUCAUGAGAAGGGUCACCAAGGAAGCAGAGGGACAGAGACUGGAAUUGAAGAGCAUACUCUUGGGAGGUGACUUCUUGUACCCAUUUGUCAUUAGUAAUUCUAGUCUAAGAUGGAGGAAAUAAAGAAAGGCAGCAUGUGAAGUGUUUGCGGGGAGAGAGAAAGAGAGUGUCUGGUUGAGUUGUACUGGCUGAGUUGUGACUUUUCCCGUAUGUCAAGCCUGGUGCCUGGAUGAUGAAGCAGGAUGGCUAGUGCUGGAGAUGAUAGUACUCUCCUUUGGGAUAACCUAGGCUUCUUCCUGGGGGUAAUCAGCAGGCUGUUGUUAAGAAUAGUGGGUGUUCUGACUGGUCUGUCUUGGAUAAUUGAAGGGUUUUUUCCUUGAGGCCCAGACUGUAAAUAUCAAGGGAUUGUCAAGCAGCUCUGGAAUCCUUCAGUGAAUGCAAAUAGUCUUCAGAACAAGUGUUAAAUAAGUCUGUGCCUUCAAGGAGCAAGUCUUCAAUAUUAUUCUGUAUCUCCUAUGGGAUACCUGACAACACGCUCUUCAUUGUGACUACCGUGGCCAUGGAUGUAAUUACCAAAACCAAAGCAUCCAUGGCUGCUUGCAUGUUUUUGCCACUAACUGACCUUCGGAUAUUAUUGCCUUAAGUUCCUCACUAGCAUCUUGAAGUUAGACAUAAAGGGUUGUUUUGUCCCAGUUUUUCAUACUGAGCAAAUAGUGCUUGCUAAUUUGCUAGUCACAACUAGAGUGAGUCAGUGGAAUAAGCCUUUUCCCACAAAGAUGUUGAGCUUUUUAUGGGCUGUCUUUGGGAGUAGACUUCACUGGGCAAGGUGGUCUGGAUUUCUCGUGGAUUGCUGAGACCACCAGGGAUCUAUGACCCACGUUGGGAGUAAAAUUGUUCAAAUAUUUUCUGCAAAGCUUGAAAUCUUUGCUUGCUUUGCAAGUGUGGGCUAAGGCAGCUGAGGUAUGCCAGAGAUUUAUGGGGGGUCCCAAUAUGCCUUUAAUAGGUAUUACUAACCAAGUAAGCAGCCCCUGAAAAGGUCUAAAAGCUGGUAUUGGAGUGGAGACUACUUCGUCAGGCAGUGAUGAUGAGGGAUCUUUGAGAAGAGAUUGGCCUAUAUUGGUCUAGAGCUUUGGAACCUGCCUCUUCCUCAUGUGGCCCUCUAACAAUCUUAAGGCCAGGGGACUUGGGUGGUCUCAGGAAGGAGUAUUGAAAUUGCAGAAUUGUGCAACCUUUGCUUGCACAGUGAGUGAGAGGGAGAUCUAUUUCUAGACAGUUUUGAGGGUGGAUGUCAGUAAGGCCAGAAUUACCAUGGUACAAGAUUGUAAAGGUAGGGUUGAUUGGACUGUUUAGACCAGCGCCAGAGGUAUGGAGGACUAAGCUGAUGCUUAGAAAUGAGUGGCCCUCAUCUCAGGGGAACCGUUCCCAGAUCUCUGUUUUUAUGGUGGGUUAUUGGGGAAGGAUCUUGACUGGAAGGAGGAGAGAAGUAGAUGUGUUCCUAAAGGUGAUGGUGUCAGUACUAGUUUACUCUUGGCACCCACUCCUAGUAUUUUUGGUACAGAGAUUGGUACGAGAGUAGUAGUGAUGCCUGACAACAGAGAGUUUGAUGGAGGUUAGGGCUUCUGUUGUAAAUGCCAGCUCAGGUGUCAAUAUUACCAGCUUUGGUACUGAGAAAGUGGUAGGAGGAUUUUGUUACUAACAGAUACUAGGUUGGAAUUCAAUCCCUCAUCAGCUGACCCAUAUAAUGAAAGGGAUUUAUACUCAGUUCGCAACCCAAGGGGAUACUGAAAGCAAAGGGCUCUUAGGCCUUUCUGCUUUUCCCAUUUUUAGGAGAGGUAACUCAGUUCUGGGAAUCAUAUUGGUCCAUUGUUCUACUCUACCUUGUCUUGGUGUGGAGGUGGCGGUGCUGGCAUUCAUCACCAGCGCAGCUAUCGGUGCUAAGUUGAUUUUGGCAGUCAUGGAUGGGCUGUCAGUGCUGUGUCAGAUGUCUUACUGGGAGCAGUCUUGGGAGUCGCAUCCUAGCUCAAGUGUUGACUAACUGGGAGUUGCAGGUAAAAAGUGUUGUCUUGGAACACGCUGCCCAUUCUUCUGGGCCUGAAGUAACUCUACCAGAAGAAUCAGCUGUAGCUGAGUGUCUCUGCAUUUUCCCAUUCUUGAUGAGGAUUUAUAGAGCAAUACUCAAGCACAGGUCUUUCACCUAGAUAGACCUAGCUGUUGUCUGUUCUAUUUGUGAGGGGAAUGAGCCAGUGUUAAGUCUAUAUUUAAGUGUCCCGUGGGCUGGAACCUCCUAUACUUUUUGGAAAGUAAUUCCACAGCGUAACACCUCUUCCUCUUAGACUUUCAACCUGAAUUUUCUUCUGUUUCAUCCCAUGGCUCAAUCGUAAGCCCAUUUUACCAUCCUAAGUAUUUUCUCUCUCUUCUUGGUGUUAAACCUUUAGGUAGUCAUAAACCAUAAUAGUGUCUUUCCCCACUGUCAUUUCUUCACCACAAUCAAUAUAUUUGCCUUCUUAGGUCCCAAUCCUGCAAGCUGUUUUGUGCAGGCAGUUCCUUUAGUCUACGCAAAGCAGAAUUGAAGCCAAUAGGGGGCAUUAACUUUUCUUUCUAAAACAUUCCCUGCAAACCCCUGAACAUUUUUCUUGCUCUUCUUUAAGGAAGCUAGAAUAAUUUUCAGACAGUAUGCCACACAAUGUUAACUAUGUUUAGCACAAGACUAUUAUAUAGAUAAUUAAGGUUUUUGAUAUAGGCAGAAGCUUGUGAUAAAAGCCUGCUAAAAUUAAACAUUGCUAAAAAAAAAAAAACCCUGAAGAUGUUCUUUCUAGUUAGACUAUUUUAAAUGUUUUUGUUGCCUUGCUUUAUUUUAUUUAAUGUGCCUGACAGAAUGCUUGAGGCAUAAGUACAAUUUACAAUAAUAUUGAUGUUCAAUUUAAAAACAGAACUGAAGGCAAAACAUUUGAUUUUAAAAUCAGUUUAUUUCAAUGUACACUAUAAAGUAAUGGCAGUUUCUUUCACAAUCUCCCUUUUGAGUGUUAAGUGCUGUGAUGUACUGGAAACGCAGCAUAUUAGAAAUUUGACAAACUGAAGACAGUUUUAGGCAGUCAUCUCUGUGGAAAAAUAUUACUUUGACAGUAUUGGUAUUGUUUUUGCAUAAUUUUUAUGAGUAACGAUGGGCUAGAAUAUGUAACUAUAUUUGAUUCAGUAUUAUAGGUGCUCCACUCUGGAAGGGCUAAAUUUGCCUCAGUGAAGUCAGAGUUGACAUUCAGUACUUCUCAGAUCCCAACUCUACAAUUGCUGUGAAAUUAACCCUCUUUCUUGUAAAAAGUCUAAGAACGAAGGGCCAUCUUCACUUUCCCUUUAGAAUGGUUAGUGGCCUGUUUCAGAUGUGGACAAGAUGGAGAUUGAGGAGUAAGCCCUUACCAUAGGUGUUUGUUUUUUUAAUGGUCUGAGUCACUAAUUUGGGUCAAUAGCUAUCUACUCAGCCCACAACUGUUAGAGUUAAUUUGGUUCUAGAGUUUUAGCCGCCAUAGACAGCAUGGCCACAGUUGAGAGUUAGGGAAUGUAAAUUCACAGGCAAGAGCAAGGAGAGCUCACAUAUGAAAGAAUCUCAACCCCAUGUACUGUUGAUGCACUGCAGCUUUGAGGUUGAUUUUUGCUGGCAUGGGGAGGGAGAAGGACAAAGAGGGAGAAAGUUAAGGUGUCUAAACUGCUGGAUAUAUUUAGUCAACCGUACAAGAUAUAGCUGCACUACUCAGUCCUGCAUUAAGUUGGUUCUUAUUUUUAUAAUGACCCACUACAAAAAUUCAAAUCUUACCUCUUUUCAUUUUCAAAAUAUGAGAGUUUGAGGGAAAUCAGCUGUCUUGGAAUAGGCAGCAACAACUUCACAUGCAAACUAGCUGUCUUGCAAGGUAGAAUCCAGUUUAUACAUUCCCAGACAGGGCCAGAACUGCAGCUGAAGGUGAACACUGAUUCCACCAUUUGAGGAUAUUGUCACAUUGCCCUCUUCCUCCCCUCACCCGCCAAUGACAGCCAGCCUUGAUUCCUCUUCUGGCUUCUGAGGUGAUCUUAAUGAUAAUUUUCAUUUCAGAUAUCCAUUAGUUCCCAUCCUUAAGGGGCAGAUACUCAUCUGAGGUGGCUUCAGAGCUAAAAAUGGUGGUAGUCAGGGAAGGCUGGGCAUUAUCCAGAUCCAAACACAUUGACUUCAGAAGACAACUGAAGAGUGGUGUUCCUGCAUUGUCUCCUCUCCUGCUCCCCCAGUGGGAUAACAGUCCAAAGCCUCAACAGGGAAAGGGACAGAAUAGAAAUCCUGGGUUAUUUUAGGGAGCUUCUUCAAAGAUGCUGGGUCCUUUAGGAGGGAGGCUCUGUAAGCCUUAUUUAUCCAGCUAACCCCUCUGUGGAGUUUUCCUGGCAGUUGGGGGCAUGGGGAGAGAACAGAAAAAGGACCAAGGCGCUCUGUUUCCUCCACCUUUUCUUCUAGCUGACCAUUCACCUCUAGGCUGAAGUAAUAUUGUGAUUUGUGAGUGACCCAGAGAUUGCACGGACCCAGACCUCACUCAAACAACUGCAUUGACUAUAGUAUGCCACCACUGUUUGUGUACAAGUGCUGCAAUGGUGAGCUGCAUACACAUGGUACAUACGCCUUUCUUCCCAUGAUCUCUGUAUUGCUAGAAGUUGGCCAGAAAUACCUACUUAUAGGUUAGAAGGCAGAUGCCAGGUAAGUUGAAGGGGAGGAAUGGUGGCAAAUUUCCUCUUUGGGGUGGAUAUCUUCUGCCUGAGUAACAGCCAAAGAUAUGUAGGGUUGUAUUCUGCUUGCAGGUAAGUGAUGUCCUGUCUACUGAAGUCAAUGGCAAAACAAUCCUAUGUACAUGACUGGAAGUAGAAUGGGAUAGAGCCAUCUAAAGUAAUCAGCUUUGCUUAAAACCCAUUUCAUGUAGUGGAUACAUUUGAGGAAAUGUGGCUGAUAGAUCAAAGGGACACUAACUGGCUAGUUGAGCAUGAGGAAAUAGAGUUCUACAGAAAAAGAGUGGGGUACCUUCCCCAGGAGAAAAUACUGGGUAUGCUAAAGGGCUCCUUAAUUUAGCAGCUAAAGGCAUAACAAGAAUCAAUGGAUGGAAGCUAAAGCUACAACUCAAACUGGAAAUAAGGAGCUCAUUUUUAAGUGAAGGUGAUUAACCAUUGGAACAAACCUACACAAGGAAGUGGUGGAUUCUCCACAUAAAUACUGGAUGCCUUUCUGGAAAGUCUAGUUAAGCCCAAUACAAGGCCUAUUAUGGGCUCAGUAAUAGAGAUAAAUUGAGUUAAUGAGCUGUGAGCUACAAGGUCAAACUAGAUCUAAUAGUCCCUUCUCUUUAAAUUCUACAUAACUGUUAACAUUUCAAAUCAGGAUUUAUUUCAAGUCACAUGUAACACAAAACAAUGACAGUCUUCAAGCUUUACAUAAGUACUAUUACCUUCACUCUCACAAUCAGACCAAACCAAUUUUCCAAACUAAAAUCAUUGGGUGUGGUUAAAACAUGGAUUUAUAGUGGAAGCUGGUUUCAGCCUUUAUUAGCCUCUAGAAAAGGUCUACAUUAAAUAAGUUAAACGCAUUUAAAUAAUGUAAAAUAGAUGAGUUAUACUGGAUUAACCCUCAACAUUGGUUUAGCUUGCAUCAGUAAUGAUCAAUGUAAGCUAAGCUAGGCAAGAGUUAAGAGGUGUGUCUUCAUUAGACAUUUGAACUUAAAGGAUUUAAAAUUUAGUUAAACCUAUGCAACUUUAAUAUGGACAACACCUAGUGGAUCUCUAUACUGUAUUUAAUAUUGAAUAGCUAGAGG